rnacentral:misc_RNA from 1 species
AACAAAAGUACUAGAUUUGAGGACAUGAGAAGUGUGGAAGAUGAGAGGGUGCCCUUCAGAAGACCAAUUGCCAAAAAGUCGGGAAACAAAGCUGCUGGAAUGGAAUCUCGAGAUGGGGAUCUUGACUUGGAUGAAUUCUCACAGGGACGCAAAUCUGGUCAGUCAUCCUCAAGGCAACAUGCUUCACGGCCAGAAGCAACACCAUUGGAUUUUGUUGUCCGACCCCAAUCUAAGAUAGAUCCAGAUGAAAUCAGAGCUCGUGCUAAGCAAGCCGUGCAAGAUCAACGUCGCAUGAAGAUGAACAAAAAGUUGCAGCAGUUGAAGGCUCCAAAGAAGAAGCAGCUUCAAGCAACAAAACUCAGUGUCGAGGGUCGUGGUAUGGUCAAGUACUUGUGAUGUGUUAUUUAACAUGUUAUCAUAGGAACUAGAAGAUGGAGUCUGCCAUCCUCAUCGUGGCCGGGAAGUCCUGCAGAUGGCUUAAUAAUGAAGGAUGCAGAUGCUGAAGUAGCAGCAGUCAGUUCGUUCCCCUACCAAAACUCCUCCAUCCAAUGACCACAAACUCUCCAAGGGAUCUGAAUUAUUUCUCUUUCGCGGUUGAAAAUGCUUAAGUUUUACUUGUACAAAAUGAUCGUCGUAUGUUUUUGGAUUUGGAUUGAAAUCAAAUUGCAAAUUG